AGUCCCGUUGUGCAGCGAUUAACACUUUGGACUUUGAAUCCAGUAACGGGAGUUCGAAUCUCCCCAGAACCU